GACGAACGCUGGCGGCGUGCUUAACACAUGCAAGUCGAACGGAAAGGCCCUGCUUGCAGGGUACUCGAGUGGCGAACGGGUGGGUAACACGUGGGUGCUCUGCCCUGCACUUCUGGGUAAGCCUGAGCAACUGGGUCUAAAACCUGAUAGGAGCCAUUUUUAGUGGGAUGGUUGGAAAGUUUUUUCGGUGUAGGAUGAGCUGGCGGCCUAUCGGCUUGUUGGGGGGGUAAUGGCCUACCAAGGCGGCAACGGGUAGCCGGACUGUGAGGGUGGACGGCGGCACUGGGACUGAGAGACGGCAGAGAUGGGUACUGGAGGAAGAAGUGGGGAAUAUUGCACAAUGGGCGCAAGCCUGAUGCAGAGACGCCGCGUGGGGGAUGACGGCUUUCUGGUUGUAAACUACCUGCGCUAGGGACGAAGCUUUUUGUGACGGUACCUAGAUAAGAAGCACCGGCUAACUACGUG
rnacentral:rRNA from 1 species